AGCAUUACGCCGGUACGAACGGAUUAUAUUGAUGCUAUAAAUUAUAAGAAUUUAAUUCUUUAAUGUUU
rnacentral:tRNA from 1 species